AGUGAACGCUGGCGGUAGGCCUAACACAUGCAAGUCGAACGGCAGCACAGUAAGAGCUUGCUCUUACGGGUGGCGAGUGGCGGACGGGUGAGGAAUACAUCGGAAUCUACUUUUUCGUGGGGGAUAACGUAGGGAAACUUAUGCUAAUACCGCAUACGACCUACGGGUGAAAGCAGGGGAUCUUCGGACCUUGCGCGAUUGAAUGAGCCGAUGUCGGAUUAGCUAGUUGGCGGGGUAAAGGCCCACCAAGGCGACGAUCCGUAGCUGGUCUGAGAGGAUGAUCAGCCACACUGGAACUGAGACACGGUCCAGACGCCUACGGGAGGGAGCAGUGGGGAAUAUUGGACAAUGGGCGCAAGCCUGAUCCAGCCAUACCGCGUGGGUGAAGAAGGCCUUCGGGUUGUAAAGCCCUUUUGUUGGGAAAGAAAAGCAGCAGGUUAAUACCCCGCUGUUCUGACGGUACCCAAAGAAUAAGCACCGGCUAACUUCGUG
rnacentral:rRNA from 1 species